UGGUCUGCCUCAGGGGCUGAAAUCCUCUUUUUAUGCACCGAGUGGGAACAGCACAGGGAGUGACAAGCUGGCUUUCUUCAAACCACUCCCACCAACGGGCUCAAGCCAAGAAAUGGGCCCACACCUUUCGGGAAAGAGAACUGCCCGUUUCACCUCUGGUGUCACUGCUGGAACUGCCAACA
ensembl:misc_RNA